GGGACCCGCACAAGCGGUGGAUGAUGUGGUUUAAUUCGAUGCAACGCGAAAACUUACCCACCUUUGACAUGUACGGAACCCUUUAGAGAUAGAGGAGUGCUCGAAAGAGAACCGUAACACAGGUGCUGCAUGGCUGUCGUCAGCUCGUGUCGUGAGAUGUUGGGUUAAGUCCCGCAACGAGCGCAACCCUUGUCAUUAGUUGCUACAUUCAGUUGGGCACUCUAAUGAGACUGCCGGUGACAAACCGGAGGAAGGUGGGGAUGACGUCAAGUCCUCAUGGCCCUUAUAGGUGGGGCUACACACGUCAUACAAUGGAUGGUACAAAGGGUCGCCAACCCGCGAGGGGGAGCCAAUCCCAUAAAGCCAUUCGUAGUCCGGAUCGCAGUCUGCAACUCGACUGCGUGAAGUCGGAAUCGCUAGUAAUCGUGGAUCAGAAUGUCACGGUGAAUACGUUCCCGGGUCUU
rnacentral:rRNA from 1 species